rnacentral:rRNA from 1 species
CCUACGGGGUGCAGCAGUGGGGGAUAUUGCACAAUGGGGGGAACCCUGAUGCAGCGACGCCGCGUGGGUGAAGGAGUGCUUCGGCAUGUAAAGCCCUAUCGGCAGGGAAGAAGAAAGACGGUACCUGACUAAGAAGCCCCGACUAACUACGUGCCAGCAGCCGCGGUCAUACGGAGGGGGCGAGCGUUAUCCGGAUUCACUGGGUGUAAAGGGAGCGUAGACGGCCAUGCAAGCCAGCGGUGAAAGCCCGGGGCCGAACCCCGGGACUGCCCUUGGAAAUGUGCGGCUAGAGUGCGGGAGGGGCAGGCGGAAUGCCUGGUGUAGCGGUGAAAUGCGUAGAUAUCAGGAGGAACACCGGCGGCGAAGGCGGCCUGCUGGACCGCGACUGACGUUGAGGCUCGAAAGCGUGGGGAGCGAACAGGAUUAGAUACCCUGGUAGUC